rnacentral:rRNA from 1 species
UACGUAGGGUGCAAGCGUUAAUCGGAAUAUCUGGGCGUAAAGCGUGCGCAGGCGGUUUUGUAAGUCUGUCGUGAAAGCCCCGGGCUCAACCUGGGAAUUGCGAUGGAGACUGCAAGGCUUGAAUCUGGCAGAGGGGGGUAGAAUUCCACGUGUAGCAGUGAAAUGCGUAGAGAUGUGGAGGAACACCGAUGGCGAAGGCAGCCCCCUGGGUCAAGAUUGACGCUCAUGCACGAAAGCGUGGGGAGCAAACAGG